rnacentral:lncRNA from 1 species
UCUGAUUCUUUUUGCACUGUCUUUCUAUACAAUUUUUUUUUUAUUUUUCCUAAUUUUGGCAGAACUUUUCAAGUAUCAUAAGUAUGGUGAAUGUUCAGAUUAUUACAGACUGUUCUGUUUUAGACAGAUUCUGUUUUUGAUGCAUAGUUUGCUUGUUUUGAUGAAACUAUCAAUUUAUAUCAGUGGAUUAAGCCAUGAAAAGGUUAUAUUACAGUAGACACAAUGCAAAAACAAAAUAUGAAUUGGUUUGCAAUAGUACUUAGAGUAGUGAUUUGCUUUAUUAUACUAACAGAUCUUACCGAGUUUUCUGUUGAAGUUUUGUGUGGAUGAAGUGUUCGAUGAUUGAGAAGGUCUUGAUGUGAGAAGAAGGAAGAGAGGCAAGAGCUCAAGCUUGGGGAUGCCCGAGGCACCCCAAGUAAAUAUUCAAGGAGACUCAAGUGUCUAAGCUUGGGGAUGCCCCGGAAGGCAUCCCCUCUUUCUUCAACAAGUAUCGGUAUGUUUUUGGAUUCGUUUCGUUCAUGUGAUAUGUGCAGAUCUUGGAGCGUCUUUUGCAUUUUGUUUUCAUUUUUAUUUUAUGCACCAUGAUGGUAUGAGAUGGUCCUUGGUUUAUGUAUAGAAUGCUCUUUUCACUUCACUUAUAUCUUUUGAGUAUGGCUUUAUAGAAUUCUUCAUGUGCUUCACUUAUAUCAUUUGAAGUUUGGAUUGCCUGUUUCUCUUCACUUAGACAACCGCCAUUUGUAGAAUGCUCUUUUGCUUCACUUAUAUUUGUUAGAGCGUGGGCAUAUCUUGUAGAAAGAAUUAAACUCUCUUGCUUCACUUAUAUCUAUUUAGAGAGAUGGCAGGAACUCGUCAUUCACAUGGUUAGUCAUAAAAUCCUACAUAAAACUUGUAGGUCACUGAAUAUGAUAUGUUUGAUUCCUUGCAAUAGUUUUGCGAUAUAAAGAUGGUGAUAUUAGAGUCAUGCUAGUGGGUAGUUGUGGAUUAGUAGAAAUACUUGUGUUGAGGUUUGUGAUUCCCGUAGCAUGCACGUAUGGUGAACCGUUAUGUAACGAAGUCGGAGCAUGAGGUAUUUAUUGAUUGUCUUCCUUAUGAGUGGCGGUCGGGGACGAGCGAUGGUCUUUUCCUACCAAUCUAUCCCCCUAGGGGCAUGCGUAGUAGUACUUUGCUUCGAGGGCUAAUAAACUUUUGCAAUAAGUAUAUGAGUUCUUUAUGACUAACGUUGAGUCCAUCGAUUAAACGCACUCUCACCCUUCCACCAUUGCUAGCCUCUUCGGUACCGUGCAUUGCCCUUGGUGCAAACUUCGCCGGUGCAUCCAAACCCCGUCAUACGAUACACUCUAUCACACAUAAACCUCCUUAUAUCUUCCUCAAAACAGCCACCAUACCUACCUAUCAUGGCAUUUCCAUAGCCAUUCUGAGAUAUAUUGCCAUGCAACUUCGAUCAUCAUCAUAUACAUGACUUGAGCAUUUAUUGUUAUAUUGCUUUGCAUGAUCGUAAGAUAGCUAGCAUGAUGUUUUCAUUGGUUGUCCAUUUUUUGAUGUCAUUGCUAUGCUAGAUCAUUGCACAUCCCGGUACACCGCCGGAGGCAUUCAUAUAGAGUCAUAUCUUUGUUCUAGUAUCGAGUUGUAAUAUUGAGUUGUAAGUAAAUAAAAGUGUGAUGAUCAUCAUUAUUAGAGCAUUGCCCCAGUGAGGAAAGGAUGAUGGAGACUAUGAUUCCCCCACAAGUCAGGAUGAGACUCCGGACGAAAAAAAAGAGAAAGGCAAAAAAAGAAGGCCCAAAAAAAGAAAAAAAAAGAAAAAAAUAGAGAAAAAGAGAGAAGGGGCUAUGUUACUAUCCUUUUACCACACUUGUGCUUCAAAGUAGCACCAUGUUCUUCAUAUAGAGAGUCUCUUGAGUUAUCACUUUCAUAUACUAGUGGGAAUUUUCAUUAUAGAACUUGGCUUGUAUAUUCCAACGAUGGGCUUCCUCAAAUGCCCUAGGUCUUCAUGAGCAAGCAAGUUGGAUGCACACCCACUUAGUUUCAGUUUGAGCUUUCAUAUACUUAUAGCUCUUAGUGCAUCCGUUGCAUGGCAAUCCCUACUCCUCACAUUGACAUCAAUUGAUGGGCAUCUCCAUAGCCCGUUGAUUAGCCGCGUCGAUGUGAGACUUUCUCCCUUUUUGUCUUCUCCACAUAACCCCCAUCAUCAUAUUCUAUUCCACCUAUAGUGCUAUGUCCAUGGCUCAUGCUCAUGUCUUGCGUGAAAGUUGAAAAGGUUUGAGAACGUCAAAAGUAUGAAACAAUUGCUUGGCUUGUCAUCGGGGUUGUGCAUGAUUUGAAUAUUUUGUGUGGUGAAGAUGGAGCAUAGCCAGACUAUAUGAUUUUGUAGGGAUAACUUUCUUUGGCCUUGUUAUCUUGAAAAUACAUGAUUGCUUUAUUAGUAGGCUGGAAGUAUUAUUGUUUUUAUGUAAGAUGAUAGACUACUGCUUUGAAUCACUCGUGUCUUAAUAUUCAUGCCAUCAUUAGAUAUAUGAUCAAGAUUAUGCUAGGUAGCAUUCCACAUCAAAAAUUAUCUUUUUUAUCAUUUACCUACUCGAGGACGAGCAGGAAUUAAGCUUGGGGAUGCUGAUACAUCUCCGUCGUAUCUAUAAUUUUUGAUUGUUCCAUGCCAAUAUUAUUCAACUUUCAUAUACUUUUGGCAACUUUUUAUAUUAUUUUUGGGACUAACAUAUUAAUCCAGUGCCCAGUGCCAGUUCCUGUUUGUUGCAUGUUUUAUGUUUCACAGAAACCCCAUAUCAAACGGAAUCCAAACGGGAUAAAAACAGAUGGAGAAUAUUUUUGGAAUAUUUGGAGAAUUCCGGAAGAAGAAUCAACGCGAAACGGUGCUCGAGGUGGCCACGAGGCAGGGGGGCACGCCUGCCCCCCUGGGCGCACCCCUGAUCCUCGUGGGCCACCCGUAAGGCGGUUGAUGCCCUUCUUCGGCCGCAAGAAAGCUAAUUUUUAGAAACAAAUCACAGCAAAGAUUUCAGUCCAAUCGGAGUUACGGAUCUCCAUAUAUAUACGAAACGGUGAAAGGGCAGCGGAGGAGAACGCAGAAACAGAGAGAGACAGAGACACAGAUCCAAUCUCGGAGGGGCUCUCGCCCCUCCCACGCCAUGGAGGGCAAGGACCAGAGGGGAAACCCUUCUCCCAUCUAGGGAUGAGGUCAAGGAAGAAUAAGACGAAGGGGCCCCCUCUCCCCUUCUCUUCCGGUGGCGCCGGAACGCUGCCGUGGCCAUCAUCAUCACCGCAAUCUUCACCAACAACUUCGCCGCCAUCAUCACCAACUCUUCCCCCCUCUAUGCAGCAGUGUAACCUCUCUCUUACCCGCUGUAAUCUCUACUUAAACAUGGUGCUCAACGCUAUAUAUUAUUUCCCAAUGAUGUAUGGCUAUCCUAUGAUGUUUGAGUAGAUCCGUUUUGUCCUAUCGGUUAUUUGAUGAUCAAGAUUGGUUUGAGUUGCAUGUUUUAUUAUUGGUGUUGUCCUAUGGUGCUCUCCGUGUCGCGCAAGCGUGAGGGAUUCCCGCUGUAGGGUUUGCAAUAUGUUCAUGAUUUGCUUAUGGUGGGUGGCGUGAGUGACAGAAGCACAUACCCGAGUAAGUAGGUUGUUUGCGUAUGGGAUAAAGAGGACUUGACGCUUUAAUGCUAUGGUUGGGUUUUACCUUAAUGAUCUUUAGUAGUUGUGGAUGCUUGCUAGACUUCCAACCAUAAGUGCAUAUGAUCCAAGUAGAGAAAGUAUGUUAGCUUAUGCCUCUCCCUCAAAUAAAAUUGCAAUAAUGAUUACCGGUCUAGUUAUCGAUUGCCUAGGGACAAAUAACUUUCUCAUAACAAAAAGCUCUCUACUAAAAUUAACUUAGUUGUGUCUUCAUCUAAACAUCCCCUACUUUUUAUUGACGCUCUCUUUAUAUUCUUGCAAACUUAUCCAAAAACACCUACAAAGUACUUCUAGUUUCAUACCUGUUUCUGGUAAAGCGAACAUCAAGUGUGCGUAGAGUUGUAUCGGUGGUCGAUAGAACUUGAGGGAAUAUUUGUUCUACCUUUAGCUCCUCGUUGGGUUCGACACUCUUACUUAUCGAAAGAGGCUACAAUUGAUCCCCUAUACUUGUGGGUUAUCAAGACCUUUUUCUGGCGCCGUUGCCGGGGAGCAAUAGCGUGGGGUGAAUAUUCUCGUGUGUGCUUGUUUGCUUUAUCACUAAGUAAUUUUUAUUUGCGGUUCUUAGUUGUUCUCUAUAUUUAGUUAUGGAUAUGGAACACGAAAUACCAAAAAACUUAGGUGUACUUGCUGCUCAUGGAGAUGGGGAACCUCCUAAAACCCUCGAUGCUCAUUAUGUGAAAGAUAUUAUGUACUACUUUGAUAAUCCCGAGAAAACCCCAUUCAAUUAUGUAAUGGGAGACACAUUGGACCAACGUGAAUACUUUAGGGAUUAUCGCUUGACUCAAAAAGGGAAACUAUUAUGGGAUCAAAUUCAUAUGUUGAAGUGGUAUGCUAGGCAACUAUGCUUGAGAUAUGAUUAUAUUUGUUGCUCUAGGAUGGAGUCUCCACACCUUCCCUUUUCAUGCAAAUUUAAUGAUAAUGAAACCUUGGCUUCUUAUGCUAAUGGUAUAUAUGAUUACUAUGAUCUGGAACAAAUAGAAGAAUUUGUUGCUUUUAUGGGUGCUUAUGAAAUUGAAUCUUUGUUCAAAGAGUGUGAAAAUGUUUAUGAUGCUCUUUAUAGACCUGAAAAUUUAGCUAUCCUUAAAUAUUGCUAUGCCAAUUAUGAAUUCAACUCCGACAUUGAUGCAUUUAUUGAGAAAGUCUCCACUGUCCAAGAAGAGACUAAUAUUUUGCAGGAGUCUAUGGAAGAAAUUGAUGAAACUGUGAACUCAUUGGAUGAAAAAGAUGAUGAGGAGAGCGAAGAACAAAAGGAGGAAGAGCGGAUUAGCUACCCGUGCUCACCUUCUAAUGAGAGUAACCCUCCAACUCAUACAUUGUUUAAUUUCCCUUCGUGCUUACCGAAGGAUGAUUGCUAUGAUGAUUGUUAUGACCCCGUUGAUUCCCAUGAAAUAUCCCUUUUUGAUGAUGCUUGCUAUGCUCGUGGCCAAGAUGCCAAUAUGAAUUAUGCUUAUGGAGGUGAACUUGCUAUAGUUCCUUAUGUUAAACAUGAAAUUGUUGUUAUUGCACCCACGCAUGAUAGUCCUAUUAUCUGUUUGAAUUCUCCCGACUACACUAUAUCGGAGAAGUUUGUGCUUAUUAAGGAUUAUAUUGAUGGGUUGCCUUUUACCGUUGCACAUGAUGAUUUUGAUAGAUAUAAUAUGCAUGUGCUUGCUGCUCCUACUUGCAAUUAUUAUGAGAGAGGAACUAUAUCUCCAUCUCUCUAUGUUUCCAACAUGAUAAAAUUGCAAGAAACUGCUUAUACUAUGCAUUGGCCUUUACUAGGUGUGCAUGAAUUGUUCUUUUAUGACAUGCCGAUGCAUAGGAAGAGAGUUAGACUUCGUCAUUGCUUGAUAUAUGUUACUUUGUGCUCACUACUAAAUUAUAAAUCAUUGUUAAUUAAAAUUGGCUUUGAUAUACCUUGGGAUCCGGGUGGAUUCACUACUUGAGCACUAUAUGCCUAGCUUAAUGGCUUUAAAGAAAGCGCUGCCAGGGAGACAACCCGGAAGUUUUAGAGAGUCAUUUAUUUCUGUUGAGUUCUUUUAUAUAGUUUAAAAACAAAACAAAAUAAAGAGGGGAACCUAAAACUUUUUCAAAAAGAAAAGCGAAAGUGAGAAAGACAAGCAUUGUUAAAGUCGGAGCUAGCCUUGAACUUUUUCCAUGCUAACGGAAACUUUGUGAAUCUUGAUUACAGAAACUUUUCAACAAAAAUAAUUAUCCCCUUGUACAAUUCCAUUGUAUUAUAAAAAUAAUGUGCCAAGGUUUGCCUUUAGGAUGUUUACAAUGCUUGUUGUUUUGUGCGGUGCAGGACAGAAACUUUGGCUGUAGUGCGCGAUUUUUAAUUUUUUACUGGAAUGUCAAAUGGUGCUGAUUAUUUUUGCACUAUCUUUCUAUACAAAUUUUUUAUUUUUCCUAAUUAUUUCAGAACUUUUCAAGUAACAUAAGUAUGGUGGAUGUUUAGAUUGUUACAGACUGUUCUGUUUUAGACAGAUUCUGUUUUUGAUGCAUAGUUUGCUUGUUUUGACGAAACUAUCAAUUUAUAUCAUUGGAUUAAGCCAUGAAAAGGUUAUAUUACAGUAGACACAAUGCAAAAAAAAUAUGAAUUGGUUUGCAACAGUACUUAGAGUAGUGAUUUGCUUUAUUAUACUAACGGAUCUUACUGAGUUUUCUGUUGAAGUUUUGUGUGGAUGAAGUGUUCGAUGAUGGAGAAGGUCUCGAUGUGAGAAGAAGGAAGAGAGGCAAGAGCUCAAGCUUGGGGAUGCCCGAGGCACCCCAAGUAAAUAUUCAAGGAGACUCAAGUGUCUAAGCUUGGGGAUGCCCCGGAAGGCAUCCCCUCUUUCUUCAACAAGUAUCGGUAUGUUUUUGGAUUCGUUUCGUUC